UAUACAUGUAAAAAUUUCUUGUAGGUUUAUGCUUGAAAGGGUGAAAGAAAUAGCUUGGAAGUGACCAUUUUCUAGUCCACAUCGGUGUGUGUCUCAGUCGUGUGUGGCUGAGGAGCAAAAGGAGGAAUCCGCCCGAGGAGGUGCUCGCGUCUGGUUAGCUAGUUGGUGAGGCAAUAGCUUACCAAGGCGAUGAUCAAUAGCUAGUCUGAGAGGAUGAUCAGCCACACUGGGACUGAGACACGGCCCAGACUCCUGCGGGAGGCAGCAGUUG
rfam:Gossypium raimondii Chr01_contig_451, whole genome shotgun sequence.